rnacentral:rRNA from 1 species
UACAGAGGUCUCAAGCGUUGUUCGGAUUCAUUGGGCGUAAAGGGUGCGUAGGCGGCGCGGUAAGUCGGAUGUGAAUCUCGGAGCUUAACUCGAAACUGCAUUCGAUACUGCCGUGCUUGAGGACUGGAGAGGAGACUGGAAAUUUGACGGUGUAGCGGUGAAAUGCGUAGAUAUCGUAAGGAAGACCAGUGGCGAAGGCGGGUCUCUGGA